rnacentral:rRNA from 1 species
CCUACGGGAGGCAGCAGUGAGGAAUAUUGGUCAAUGGACGAGAGUCUGAACCAGCCAAGUAGCGUGAAGGAUGACUGCCCUAUGGGUUGUAAACUUCUUUUAUAUGGGAAUAAAACGUUCCACGUGUGGGAUUUUGUAUGUACCAUAUGAAUAAGGAUCGGCUAACUCCGUGCCAGCAGCCGCGGUAAUACGGAGGAUCCGAGCGUUAACCGGAUUUAUUGGGUUUAAAGGGAGCGUAGGUGGAUUGUUAAGUCAGUUGUGAAAGUUUGCGGCUCAACCGUAAAAUUGCAGUUGAAACUGGCAGUCUUGAGUACAGUAGAGGUGGGCGGAAUUCGUGGUGUAGCGGUGAAAUGCUUAGAUAUCACGAAGAACUCCGAUUGCGAAGGCAGUUCACUGGACUGCAACUGACACUGAGGCUCGAAAGUGUGGGUAUCAAACAGGAUUAGAUACCCUAGUAGUC